rnacentral:rRNA from 1 species
UUAGAGGAAAGGUAAAGUCGUAACAAGGUCUCCGUAGGUGAACCUGCGGAGGGAUCAUUA